GUCCAAGGCAUAUAAAUGAUCAUCGAACAAGUCCUGACCCGCUACUUCCCCUUCGACACAUUCGCAACGGAAGAAAAGUUGAACGUCUCGCCCCCACGGGGGGCCUCUGCCUUGCGUGUUUUAUCCGAUCGCUCAGCAAAUAUUAGUGGACAUGCAAGUAGCAGUGCCAACGGAAUUCCUGCCCGAGGCGUGGGACCCCCAGCGACCAGGGUGCAAAUGAUCAGGGGGCAGUAGAAAUCCGGGGCAGUAGAAAUCCGCGGCAGCCAACAACAAAGACUAAGAUCCCCCGUAUAGCCUCAAGAGACUUUUGGGGCAAGUGCUGUUAGUGAGGAACUCUGAAGGUCGGCAUGGAAGUCGAGGAGGUGGGCAGCCAGCACCACGCCCGCCCGCCUUUGUCGCCCCAGUGGUGAUGUUUACUCACCACAAAAGGACUGGUUCAGACACCGCUCGCCACUCUGACCACAGCCAAGGCUGGUGGAUCGUACAGCGCCCCUCUGCCUGAGCGGCGCGCUCUCUGUUGGAGGCACCGUCAAGUCGUCUCACGCGAGAUGCCCCACUGCACGGGGAGGUCCAGCACCAACCACAUCCCCACCGCCUUCAGCCGCGGGUUUCCUGCCCUCGCUACCAAAACUGUAUUUGCGUAUACUGUAAUGAGAAAAAUGCCCCGCGUACAUUUCCACAGUCCACGUUCCUCGUGAAGACUCCAUUUGCCCCUUGGAUUGAAUGAAUGAACAUGGUUUUCAGUUCUCUUAAAAAAAACAAUUCCCAACUUUCAAAUAAAAAUAUUACAGAGUGGAAAGAGAGUUUUUAUACGGCUAAAACCCGAUAAGAUUAGCACGGUGACACUUUUUAGCGAUGGAUGUUUUACCUGGGGCAAAGGCCUCAAGUCAUAUACCACUUCAUGAAUACCAUUAAUUACCAGUAUUUCCCAAUCAUAACGAACCCCUCCCGGACCCCGUGCAAUGAAUGGGCAUUUAUAUAUAUAAGUAAAAUUCUAAAUUCAUGCUUCCAUGACGUGUACUGUGAAUUUUGCAUAUGUACGACCACUAAAUUCAUCCGACGUUAAGGCCUAAGAACAUUGGGAAACACGCAUCCUGCAUUCUUGCCCAGAUGUGUGUUGCUUUCAUUGCACGCAGUAGGACAAAAACAAGUACUGCAUGUGAAUGUGGAGCAGCACAUGGCCAACAGUGACCUGCAUCAAAGAGAGCGUGGGGGAGCCUACUGAAGCAGAGAGCUCACUUACAAAAUUCGCGGUCGGAAAGACUUGGGACGCUGUAUUUCCGACAGCUUUGUUUCUUCACCUGAGGACGGCUGCUUGUGUUGUGGCCGAAACGUCGUGAUAAUUUUUUUAUUUUGUUAUGUUUUAUUUGUAUUAUUUUAUUAUUUCCCUUCUACGUGACUUUACCGAAAGAACCAAGAAGAUGAAUCCCUGCAGUCACUAAAGCUUUAAAUCGUUUAAUAAUAUUCGUUUCUUCUGAAAUUUUGUAUUAAUGACCAAAAAUAGUGUGGCGUAAAAUGUCUACUCGCCUGCCUGCCUGCAGAUUAAGUCCAAAUUCCCAAGUGGAGGCGUAUUCCGAAGAAACACGAAGACAAUUAACAACGCAAACUAUUUCACUCGCAAAAUCAGACAGCAGCCCCAGUGCAGUGAGCAGCAAAAAAAUCUCGCCCCUGGGUAAAAAUCAAUCUUAACGGCGUGUGUCCCAUUGUUCAAAGGCGUUUAGAGUCUUUAAUGCUAACAUCCGGUAGCAAGUGCACGCUCGCAAACGACCUGAGUUCUGCAAACACGCACACGCACGCAUCACCGUCUUACAAACGUGCACACCACCACCACCACCACUCGGCGUCAUGUACACAACCUCUGUGCCUCCAUUAAACGCAACGGUUUCGUCAGAGCGCCUCGCGCAAGCCAACUGUGUAAUUAUAACCGAACGUUUUUGCAAAAAAUAUCCGCUUUGCUACGGCCGACGGUGCUGGCACAGGUACUUCAAUUAAAGAAACCUCACGGCACGCCGCGGGGUCCAGGCCAGUAAUGAAGUAUGCGCAACGCCUCCAGCAGACUCAUUCAAGUGGCAAUGUUCACAAUUAGUCGGCUCGUGAACAUUGCCAGUGAAUGACACAAAAAACCGCGCAUUAGCGUCGAACACUGUGUAGCACACGGGAUUAAAAAAAUCGUAACGCGCAGUAUUUCCUAUGGGGCAAUACAUUCUGAAAUUAUAUGUUUCGUA